rnacentral:rRNA from 1 species
UACGGGGGGGGCAAGCGUUGUUCGGAAUUACUGGGCGGAAAGGGCUCGUAGGUGGCCAACUAAGUCGGACGUGAAAUCCCUCGGCUUAACCGGGGAACUGCGUCCGAUACUGGUUGGCUUGAGUUUGGGAGAGGGAUGCGGAAUUCCAGGUGUAGCGGUGAAAUGCGUAGAUAUCUGGAGGAACACCGGUGGCGAAGGCGGAUCUCUGGGCCUUACCUGACGCUGAGGCGCGAAAGCUAGGGGAGCAAACAGG